rnacentral:rRNA from 1 species
AUUAGCACACCCAGUUUGAGUUACACCCCACCCAUUAUCUGUUGGCUCAUUAAAUCAGUUAUGGUUCUUUUGACCUCUCCAUUUAUUACUUGGAUAACUGUGGUCAUUCUUGAGCUAAUACAUGCGCGAGUGCUGACCUCCCGGGAUGAGUGCAUUUAUCCGACCAAGACCAGAUCUAGAUAACCUUGGGCUAAUAGCACGACCCGUGAUGGCGACAAUACAUUUUAAUGCGUGCCCUAUCAAUUUUCAAUGGUACUUUCUGUGCCUAGCAUGGUGACCACAGGUAAUGGGGAAUCACAGUUUGAUUCCGGGGAGGGAGCCAAAGAAACGGCUGCACAUCCAAGGAAGGCAGCAGGCGCGCAAAUUACCCACUCCUGACUUGGGGAGGUAGUGACGAAAAUAACAAUACAGGACUCUUUCGAGUCCCUGUAAUUGGAAUGAGUACACUUUAAAUACAUUUAACGAGGAUCCAUUGGAGGGCAAGUCUGGUGCCAGCAGCCAUGGUAUUUCCAGCUCCAAUAGCGUAUAUUAGGUUGCUGCAGUUUAAAAGCUCAUACUUGGAUCUUAAGAUCGAGCUGGCAGUCCACCACGAGGAGAGCUGCCGGUCCCAGCCCUGCCUCUCUGCGCCCAGUUGAUGCUCUUGAAUGAGUGUCCUGGGGGUCCAAGCAUUUACUUUUAAGAAAUUUGAGUGUUUAAAGCAGGCCGGUUGUCUGAAUACCUACGCUAGAAUAAUGGAAUAGGACUCUAUUUUGUGGGUUUUUGGAACUGGUGCCAUGAUUAAGAGGGACAACCGGGGGCAUUGAUAUUGUGUCGCAAGAGGUGAACUUCUUGGACCAUUUGCAAUAAUGUUUAAUCAAUCAAGAAUGAAAGUCGGAGGUUCGAAGACGUUCAGAGACCGUCGUAGUGCUGACCAAAACAAUGCUGACUAGCGAUCCAGCAGAGGUAUUCUUACGACCCGCCGAGCCGCUUCCAUGAAACCAAGGUCUUUGGGUUCCGGGGUGAGUAUGGUUGCAAAGUUAAUAAAGGAAUUGAUGGAAGUGCACGACCAGGAGUGGAGCCUGUGGCUGAAUUUGUUUCAGCAAAGGAAACCUCACCCGGCCCGGGCACAGAGAGGAUUGACAUAUUGAUAGCGCUUUCUUGAUUCUGGGGUGGUAUGCAUGGCCGUUCUUAGUUGGUGGAGCGAUUUGUCUGGUUAAUUCCGAUAAUGAAGAGACUCCUCUAUGCUAACCACUUACGCGACCCCAGCGGUCGGUGUUCAACUUCUUAGAGCGACAAGUGGCAUUCAGCCACAUGAGAUCGAGCAAUAACAGGUCUGUAAUGCCUUAGAUGUCCCAGGUUGCACGCAUGCUAUACUGAAUGGAUCAGAGUGUGUCUAACAUUCGCCAACAGGUGCGGGUAACCCGCUGAACAUGUUCGUGAUGGGAUUGGGGAUUGCAACUAUUUCCAUGAACAAGGAAUUUCCAGUAAGUACGGUCAAUGGCGUGCGUUGAUUAAGUCCUUGCUCCUUGUACACACCACCAUCGCUACUACCGAUUGGAUGGCUUUGUGAGGUCCUUGGAUUGGCCCCUCUGGGUCAGCAACGGCCCUGGUGGAGCACCAAGGAGACGAUCAAACUUAACUAUCUAGAGGAUGUACUAGUCGUAACAAGGUUUCCGUAGGUGAACCUGCGGAAG